rnacentral:rRNA from 1 species
UACGUAGGGUGCGAGCGUUGUCCGGAAUCACUGGGCGUAAAGGGCGCGUAGGUGGCGCGACAAGUCAGUGGUGAAAGUUCGACGCUCAACGUCGAAUCGGCCACUGAUACUGUUGGGCUUGAGCACUGUAGAGGCUAAUGGAAUUCCGGGUGUAGCGGUGGAAUGCGUAGAGAUCCGGAAGAACACCGGUGGCGAAGGCGGUUAGCUGGGCAGUUGCUGACACUGAGGCGCGACAGCGUGGGGAGCAACAGG